UACGUAGGGGGCAAGCGUUGUCCGGAAUCAUUGGGCGUAAAGAGCGUGUAGGCGGCCCGGUAAGUCCGCUGUGAAAGUCCAGGCUCAACCCUGGGAUGCCGGUGGAUACUGUCGGGCUCGAGUCCGGAAGAGGAGUGUGGAAUUCCUGGUGUAGCGGUGAAAUGCGCAGAUAUCAGGAGGAACACCAAUGGCGAAGGCAGCACUCUGGGACGUGACUGACGCUGAGACGCGAAAGCGUGGGGAGCAAACAGG
rnacentral:rRNA from 1 species